rnacentral:rRNA from 1 species
AAUGAACGUUGGCGGCAUGGAUUAGGCAUGCAAGUCGAGCGAGAAGAGUUUUGAAGCUUGCUUUGAAACUCGGAAAGCGGCGAAAGGGAGAGUAACGAGUAGUUAUCUACCCCAAGGCCCGGAAUAGCUGCGGGAAACUGCAGGUAAUGCCGGAUAAUAUCCCCGGAUCAAAGGUGUGAUUCCGCCUUGGGAGGAGACUGCUUUGUACUAGCUUGUUGGUAGGGUAAUGGCCUACCAAGGCUACGAUGCAUAGCGGGCGUGAGAGCGUGGCCCGUCUCACUGGGACUGAAACACUGCCCAGACACCUACGGGUGGCUGCAGUCGAGAAUCUUCGGCAAUGGGCGAAAGCCUGACCGAGCAAUGCCGCGUGCGGGAUGAAGGCCUUCGGGUUGUAAACCGCUGUCGUAGAGGAGAAAGGUCUGAUGAAGAAUCAGAUUUGAUCUAUUCUAGGAGGAAGUCGGGGCUAAGUUCGUGCCAGCCGCCGCCGUAACAC